rnacentral:sRNA from 1 species
CCCAGCGAGCCCUUCCUCCCUUGUCUGACUGCUCUUCUUCUCGAUUUCUUCUUGUUCUGCCUUCUCAGUUUGCAGCCCUGACCCACGCUGUGUGUCUGUGUGUCUGGCCCUUGGUGACUGUCCGUGUUUCUGUUCCUGUCAUUGUAACUGUGACUUUUCUUUCUGUCUGCCCCCCCCUUCCUACUGGUUCAUGCUUCUCCCCCAUUCCCACCCUCUCUGCCCGGCCUCCCGCUCCCGCCCUUUCUCCUCAUGCACCCGGCCUCGUCUCUGUAGUCUCUGCACUUGUCUCCCAUUAAGGUCCCAUCCAUGGGGGGGCGGAAGCGGGAGCGCAAGGCUGCCGUCGAGGAGGACACCUCCCUGUCGGAGAGUGAGGGGCCCCGCCAGCCCGAUGGGGAUGAGGAGGAGAGCACAGCCCUCAGCAUCAACGAGGAGAUGCAGCGCAUGCUCAACCAGCUGAGGGAGUAUGAUUUUGAGGACGACUGUGACAGCCUGACUUGGGAGGAGACUGAGGAGACCCUGCUGCUUUGGGAGGAUUUCUCAGGCUAUGCCAUGGCAGCUGCAGAGGCCCAGGGAGAGCAGCAGGAAGAUAGCCUGGAGAAGGUGAUUAAAGAUACGGAGUCCCUGUUCAAAACCCGGGAGAAGGAGUAUCAGGAGACCAUUGACCAGAUAGAGCUGGAGUUGGCCACGGCCAAGAACGACAUGAACCGGCACCUGCACGAGUACAUGGAGAUGUGCAGCAUGAAGCGCGGCCUGGACGUGCAGAUGGAGACCUGCCGCCGGCUCAUCACCCAGUCUGGAGACCGAAAGUCUCCUGCUUUCGCUGCGGUCCCGCUUAGCGACCCGCCGCCGCCGCCGCCAAGCGAGGCUGAGGACUCCGAUCGCGAUGUCUCAUCUGACAGCUCCAUGAGAUAGAGACCUGCCUCCCCCUUGCACCCGAGGCCCUCGCAGCGGGGACCUCAGCGAGGCAGAGGGUGGGGCUGCACAGAGGGGAACAUCAGCUGCAGCUCUGCACCAGGCCGGCCCCUGGGGACUGGGGCGCUCCUCCCUCAGGCUUUCUCCCUCGGUCUUGGCUUCUCCAGGGCUCUGGGGUGUCUGGAGCUAGGCUUGGCCCUACCAUUCUGGGGCCAUUUCCACCACAGUUGGGGCUCUCCUGCCUUCACGCGUGGGUGUCUGCUACUUCCCCAUCUUUAAAAUGCUGCCAGAGCGAUUGCGGCCCCUCACCUUGUCCACGUAUCAGGAAUGUGAAUGUGGGACCUUUCCUCCAUCCCUGUUGUCCGGAGCCAGCUCACUGUCUUCCACACUGGUGCUAACUGGCCCAGGCACUGGAGUGGAAUAGAAUGCAGCUGGAGGCUACGCAUGGCCUCUGCAGCACACGCAGCUGGAGAGGGCUUCUGUCCCUGUCAGCGGCAGAGGGCGUUGGGGCUGGCCGGGGCACCUUGUCCCUGCUAUGGUCCACAUGCUCACGCUGUCCACCUGCCAGGUGGAGUGUAUGUGGCUGUGGCCCUCCCUCGUGGAGGUGCCGUGCUUUAAAGAGGCCUUAGUGCCCGGGAUGGGCACAGUGUUUUGAAGGGAGGUGGGAGCUCUUGCUCUCCUGGUCACUGCAGAAUGACAGAGAAGGUGAAGCUCCGUGCAUGUGUGCGCGGGUGUAUGUGCGCUCAGGGUCUCUGUUUAAGUAUCAGCUAAAGAUGUGCCCCCUCCAUGUCUGUCAUACACUGAGACCAACAGGCUACAGUGUCCCUGAUUCUUGGAAAAGCCUGGAGAAGCUGGGGAGAUGCGGUUCACAAUGCC